rnacentral:rRNA from 1 species
AAGAAGCAAUACCGUGAGGUGGAGCAAAACUCAAAAAUAGAUCUCAGUUCGGACUGUAGGCUGCAACUCGCCUACACGAAGUUGGAAUUGCUAGUAAUCGUGGAUCAGCAUGCCACGGUGAAUACGUUCCCGGGCCUUGUACACACCGCCCGUCACACCAUGAGAGUUGGCAAUACCCAACGUACGUGAUCUAACCCGCAAGGGAGGAAGCGUCCUAAGGUAGGGUCAGCGAUUGGGGUGAAGUCGUAACAAGGUAGC